rnacentral:rRNA from 1 species
GACGAAGGACCCAAGCGUUAUCCGGAUUCAUUGGGUUUAAAGGGUGCGUAGGUGGAAAGAUAAGUCAGUGGUGAAAUCUCCGGGCUCAACUCGGAAACUGCCAUUGAUACUGUUUUUCUUGAGUGCAUAUGAUGUGGGCGGAAUAUGACAUGUAGUGGUGAAAUACUUAGAUAUGUCAUAGAACACCGAUUGCGAAGGCAGCUCACAAAACUGCAACUGACACUGAGGCACGAAAGCGUGGGGAUCAAACAGG